rnacentral:rRNA from 1 species
UACGUAGGGCGCAAGCGUUGUCCGGAAUUAUUGGGCGUAAAGAGCUCGUAGGCGGCUUGUCGCGUCGGAUGUGAAAGCCCGGGGCUUAACCCCGGGUCUGCAUUCGAUACGGGCAGGCUAGAGUGUGGUAGGGGAGAUCGGAAUUCCUGGUGUAGCGGUGAAAUGCGCAGAUAUCAGGAGGAACACCGGUGGUGAAGGCGGAUCUCUGGGCCAUUACUGACGCUGAGGAGCGAAAGCGUGGGGAGCGAACAGG